rfam:Gasterosteus aculeatus cont1.010919, whole genome shotgun sequence.
UUUUAAGUGUAAUGUAAGUCGCUUUGGAUAAAAGCGUCAGCUAAAUGACAUGUA